UUCCUCUCCCAUCUCCUUCUUCCUCGCAUUCGCUUUACCAUUGCCAAGUAAGGUUCGCGCACAGAUUUUUUUCCUCCCGCACUUCCAGCCAAGCCGAAGCCGAAUCCAGACAUACUGAGAUAAAUCGAAGCAUGUUGGUCCCCUAUGUGAGAGAGACAUUUGAGAAGAAAGAUGACACACUUUUGUUUCGGUCAUCACACAUGUUGAAGAAGAAGAUAUAAUGUGGCUAACAUCAAAAGGAAUGGAACCUCGUGUCAGGUGUUGUUGGACCCCGUCGAUCAGGUCAAGAUGCUCCGACGGAUUGCACUUUCCCAUCCACCUAGAUCCAAUCGUGCUCUUUUAUCAACAUUUAUAUGUUAGCCUUCUUUAUAUGUUCUAAUUAUUUCAAACUCUCCGUUCAUGAUCUAUCAGGAAUGGUCUCAAUAUUUCUUUGUUUUAUCUACCAUGUUUGGCUCGAACUUCUUACAUGGUCUAAAAAUCAUGCCACUAAAUGAUUUAUAUUUCUCUUCACAAGAUAUUCGACACAAUUUAAUAAGAUGAGGAAUGCUUCGGUA